rnacentral:rRNA from 1 species
AUUGAACGCUGGCGGCAUGCCUAACACAUGCAAGUCGAACGGCAGCACGGGAGCUUGCUCCUGGUGGCGAGUGGCGGACGGGUGAGUAAUGCAUAGGAAUCUGCCCAGUAGCGGGGGACGAACUUGGGGAAACGUCAAGCUAAUACCGCAUGCGCCCUACGGGGGAAAGGCGGGGGACCGUUCGGGCCGUCGCACUAUUGGAUGAGCCUAUGUCAGAUUAGCUUGUUGGUGGGGUAACGGGCCUACCAAGGCGACGAUCUGUAGCUGGUCUGAGAGGACGAUCAGCCACACUGGGACUGAGACACGGCCCAGACUCCUACGGGAGGCAGCAGUGGGGGAAUUUUGGUACAAUGGGCGCAAGCCUGAUCCAGCCAUGCCGCGUGUAUG